rnacentral:rRNA from 1 species
CGAACGAAACACCUUAUUUGAUUUUCUUCGGAACUGAAGAUUUGGUGAUUGAGUGGCGGACGGGUGAGUAACGCGUGGGUAACCUACCCUGUACAGGGGGAUAACAGUCAGAAAUGACUGCUAAUACCGCAUAAGACCACAGCACCGCAUGGUGCAGGGGUAAAAACUCCGGUGGUACAGGAUGGACCCGCGUCUGAUUAGCUGGUUGGUGAGGUAACGGCUCACCAAGGCGACGAUCAGUAGCCGGCUUGAGAGAGUGAACGGCCACAUUGGGACUGAGACACGGCCCAAACUCCUACGGGAGGCAGCAGUGGGGAAUAUUGCACAAUGGGGGAAACCCUGAUGCAGCGACGCCGCGUGAGUGAAGAAGUAUUUCGGUAUGUAAAGCUCUAUCAGCAGGGAAGAAAAUGACGGUACCUGACUAAGAAGCCCCGGCUAACUACGUGCCAGCAGCCGCGGUAAUACGUAGGGGGCAAGCGUUAUCCGGAUUUACUGGGUGUAAAGGGAGCGCAGGCGGUGCGGCAAGUCAGAUGUGAAAACCCGGGGCUCAACCCCGGGACUGCAUUUGAAACUGUCGGACUAGAGUGCCGGAGAGGUAAGUGGAAUUCCUAGUGUAGCGGUGAAAUGCGUAGAUAUUAGGAGGAACACCAGUGGCGAAGGCGGCUUACUGGAC